rnacentral:rRNA from 1 species
ACUUACGGCCAUACCAUCCUGAAUACGCCCGAUCUCGUCUGAUCUCGGAAGCUGAGCAGGGUCGGGCCUGGUUAGUCCUUGGAUGGGAGACAGCAUGGGAAUACCAGGUGCUGUCGGUG